rnacentral:rRNA from 1 species
AUACGGAGGGUGCAAGCGUUACUCGGAAUCACUGGGCGUAAAGCGCGCGCAGGCGGCUUGAUAAGUUGGAUGUGAAAGCCUACGGCUCAACCGUAGAACUGCAUCCAAAACUGUCAAGCUAGAGUCUGGGAGGGGAAGAUGGAAUUAGUUGUGUAGGGGUAAAACCCGUAGAGAUAACUAGGAAUACCAAAAGCGAAGGCGAUCUUCUGGAACACUACUGACACUGAGGCGCGAAGGCGUGGGGAGCAAACAGGAUUAGAAACCCGGGUAGUCC